CUUGGUAACCUUUACUUCACUUCAACUGUAAAUCCACAUUGAAUUGCUUUUUAAUCAUUUGUGUAUUAAUUUAUCAUCAUCUUAAUCAACUUUUAAGAUUCUUCUUCCAUUCAGUUGAUUGUUAUGUUAAAUAUUAAAAGCAUUUAAAUUUAAAAUGCGAUCAUAUAGUUAAAUAAUGAUAAAUCUUCCUGACCAUCAAACAAGACAGUAAGAUUAAGUAAGUAAAGCAAGUAUGGUUAGACCAUUGUGUUUGAGUGGUCAACACACCCUAAAUUGUUACAAUUGACAUCUCAAUUAAUAUCUUAACUGUCAAACAAGUUGAUAGUUAAUUGUCUUGUAAAGUAACAAUUAGAUAAUAUGUUUGUAAAAUUGAUUGAUUCAAGGAAAGUGAGUGAAGCCACAAGCUUGGCCAGAGUACACAAAACCAACAUGUGUUACCAGUUUUACAUUGACUUUUCAAAUUGAAUAAAACUCAAAGUGUCUUUGAUCAACAGUUGAUUUAAAUUGAUUUUGGAUCAACAAUUAAAUCAAACAAAUGCCGUGAUGGAAUCAAGUUCAACUUUUACAGAAUAACAUGUCUCUCUAUUGAGCUACCCUCUUCAUCCAGACCAUCACCUUGACUCCUUAUAAAAAUGAUAUUUCUUUUUGUUGCCGCAUUUCAAUGUGUGUCCGCCUCUCUAAAUUGACCUAAAUUGGCUAAAUAAUAAGAAUCGAGAAACAAAAUCAAAUUGAGAAUCAUAAUUGUACUGGAAAGAUUGGAUUGGCUGGUUUGGUGUUACUCUUAACGUUGCUGCUGGUUGCUGUUGCUUGUUUGGUCAACUUUAAUCAUAACUUUGAUUCUUGAUUGUUGGCGUUAUUAUACAUCAACCAAGUUAGGUCAAAGUGUAAACUGUCAAACUUGGAUCAGUUACCGAAUCAUUGUCCUUGAUACAUAUAAUGACCCUCGAUGACCUUCAAUAAUGUUGAUUUUUAUUGAAAAAAGCAAGUGUAUUUCAUGCAAAUACGGCAUGUGAAUUCACAUGAUGGUAAUUUGUUAUUAAUCAGUCACAAUGUGAAUCAACUUCUUGGUAUUAUAAUCAUAAUUAUAUCUUCCUUUGCACGUUUCUAUUAUAAUUUAAUAUUUGAAUUUCUUUCAAGGAUUUUUGUCCAUCAUCUCAAUGAGAUUGUUGCUUCAUUUGAAGCUUCUUUUGAUGUUUCUUGGGUACGAUCAUCAUGACUAUUGUAGCUCGAUUUGAACCAAUUUUCGGUUUCUUGGCAUAUCUUUAUAGUUAAUAUAAUCAGAGUAACAAUUAACCUGCGAAA